rnacentral:rRNA from 1 species
UACGAAGGGGGCUAGCGUUGUUCGGAAUCACUGGGCGUAAAGCGCACGUAGGCGGAUCUUUUAAGUCAGGGGUGAAAUCCCGAGGCUCAACCUCGGAACUGCCUUUGAUACUGGGGAUCUCGAGUCCGGGAGAGGUGAGUGGAACUGCGAGUGUAGAGGUGAAAUUCGUAGAUAUUCGCAAGAACACCAGUGGCGAAGGCGGCUCACUGGCCCGAUACUGACGCUGAGGCACGAAAGCGUGGGGAGCAAACAGG